rnacentral:rRNA from 1 species
CAGAUUGAACGCUGGCGGCAGGCCUAACACAUGCAAGUCGAGCGGUAGAGAGAAGCUUGCUUCUCUUGAGAGCGGCGGACGGGUGAGUAAUGCCUAGGAAUCUGCCUGGUAGUGGGGGAUAACGCUCGGAAACGGACGCUAAUACCGCAUACGUCCUACGGGAGAAAGCAGGGGACCUUCGGGCCUUGCGCUAUCAGAUGAGCCUAGGUCGGAUUAGCUAGUUGGUGAGGUAAUGGCUCACCAAGGCGACGAUCCGUAACUGGUCUGAGAGGAUGAUCAGUCACACUGGAACUGAGACACGGUCCAGACUCCUACGGGAGGCAGCAGUGGGGAAUAUUGGACAAUGGGCGAAAGCCUGAUCCAGCCAUGCCGCGUGUGUGAAGAAGGUCUUCGGAUUGUAAAGCACUUUAAGUUGGGAGGAAGGGCAUUAACCUAAUACGUUGGUGUCU